rnacentral:lncRNA from 1 species
UUAACCAGUGUAAUAUAUAGUGUAAUAUAUAGUGUAAUAUAUAGUGUAAUAUAUAGUGUAGUUAAUCAGUGUAAUCUAUAGUGUAGUUAACCAGUGUAAUAUAUAGUGUAGUUAAUCAGUGUAAUAUAUAUUGUAAACCAGUGUAAUAUAUAGUGUAAUAUAUAGUGUAGUUAAUCAGUGUAAUAUAUAGUGUAGUUAACCAGUGUAAUCUAUAGUGUAGUUAACCAGUGUAAUAUUUAGUGUAGUUAACCAGUGUAAUAUAUAGUGUAGUUAACCAGUGUAAUAUAUAGUGUAGUUUACCAGUGUAAUAUAUAUAGUGUAGUUAAUCAGUAUAAUAUAUAGUGCAGUUAACCAGUGUAAUAUAUAGUGUAGUUAAUCAGUGUAAUAUAUAGUGUAAUAUAUAUAGUGUAGUUAAUCAGUGUAAUAUAUAGUGUAAUAUAUAUAGUGUAGUUAAUCAGUGUAAUAUAUAGUGUAGUUAAUCAGUGUAAUCUAUAGUGUAGUUAACCAGUGUAAUAUAUAGUGUAGUUAACCAGUGUAAUAUUUAGUGUAGUUAAUCAGUGUAAUCUAUAGUGUAGUUAACCAGUGUAAUAUAUAGUGUAGUUAACCAGUGUAAUAUAUAGUGUAGUUAAUCAGUGUAAUCUAUAGUGUAGUUAACCAGUGUAAUAUAUAGUGUAAUAUAUAGCGUAGUUAAUCAGUGUAAUAUAUAGUGUAGUUAACCAGUGUAAUAUAUAGUGUAGUUAACCAGUGUAAUAUAUAGUGUAGUUAAUCAGUGUAAUCUAUAGUGUAGUUAACCAGUGUAAUAUAUAGUGUAGUUAAUCAGUGUAAUAUAUAUUGUAGUUAACCAGUGUAAUAUAUAGUGUAAUAUAUAGUGUAGUUAACCAGUGUAAUAUAUAGUGUAGUUAACCAGUGUAAUCUAUAGUGUAGUUAACCAGUGUAAUAUUUAGUGUAGUUAACCAGUGUAAUAUAUAGUGUAGUUAACCAGUGUAAUAUAUAGUGUAGUUUACCAGUGUAAUAUAUAUAGUGUAGUUAAUCAGUAUAAUAUAUAGUGCAGUUAACCAGUGUAAUAUAUAGUGUAGUUAACCAGUGUAAUAUAUAGUGUAGUUAACCAGUGUAAUAUAUAGUGUAGUUAAUCAGUGUAAUCUAUAUUGUAGUUAACCAGUGUAAUAUAUAGUGUAGUUAAUCAGUGUAAUCUAUAGUGUAGUUAACCAGUGUAAUAUAUAGUGUAAUAUAUAGCGUAGUUAAUCAGUGUAAUAUAUAGUGUAGUUAACCAGUGUAAUAUAUAGUGUAGUUAACCAGUGUAAUAUAUAGUGUAGUUAAUCAGUGUAAUCUAUAGUGUAGUUAACCAGUGUAAUAUAUAGUGUAGUUAAUCAGUGUAAUAUAUAUUGUAGUUAACCAGUGUAAUAUAUAGUGUAAUAUAUAGUGUAGUUAACCAGUGUAAUAUAUAGUGUAGUUAACCAGUGUAAUCUAUAGUGUAGUUAACCAGUGUAAUAUUUAGUGUAGUUAACCAGUGUAAUAUAUAGUGUAGUUAACCAGUGUAAUAUAUAGUGUAGCUUACCAGUGUAAUAUAUAUAGUGUAGUUAAUCAGUAUAAUAUAUAGUGCAAGUUAACCAGUGUAAUAUAUAGUGUAGUUAACCAGUGUAAUAUAUAGUGUAGUUAACCAGUGUAAUAUAUAGUGUAGUUAAUCAGUGUAAUCUAUAGUGUAGUUAACCAGUGUAAUAUAUAGUGUAGUUAAUCAGUGUAAUCUAUAGUGUAGUUAACCAGUGUAAUAUAUAGUGUAAUAUAUAGCGUAGUUAAUCAGUGUAAUAUAUAGUGUAGUUAACCAGUGUAAUAUAUAGUGUAGUUAACCAGUGUAAUAUAUAGUGUAGUUAACCAGUGUAAUCUAUAGUGUAGUUAACCAGUGUAAUAUUUAGUGUAGUUAACCAGUGUAAUAUAUAGUGUAGUUAACCAGUGUAAUAUAUAGUGUAGUUUACCAGUGUAAUAUAUAUAGUGUAGUUAAUCAGUAUAAUAUAUAGUGCAGUUAACCAGUGUAAUAUAUAGUGUAGUUAAUCAGUGUAAUAUAUAGUGUAAUAUAUAUAGUGUAGUUAAUCAGUGUAAUAUAUAGUGUAAUAUAUAUAGUGUAGUUAAUCAGUAUAAUAUAUAGUGUAGUUAACCAGUGUAAUAUAUAGUGUAGUUAACCAGUGUAAUCUAUAGUGUAGUUAACCAGUGUAAUAUUUAGUGUAGUUAACCAGUGUAAAAUAUAGUGUAGUUAACCAGUGUAAUAUAU